CACCUAACCCUUGUACUUUCUUAACAAAUACAAGGUAUGGUCAAAAACCGGUAAAGGAUAAAGAACCCAUCGUGGGACUACCUUUACCGGUCCUGUCAGGAAACUGGCAGUGGAUAGCUUAGCUAUC
rnacentral:sRNA from 12 species